CUUAGACAGCUAGGAUGUUGGCUUAGAAGCAGCCAUCAUUUAAAGAAAGCGUAAUAGCUCACUAGUCGAGUCGGCCUGCGCGGAAGAUGUAACGGGGCUAAGUUGUAAACCGAAGCUGCGGCAAUGUUCUUUGAACAUUGGGUAGGGGAGCGUUCUGUAAGCCGUUGAAGGUGUGUUGUAAAGCAUGCUGGAGGUAUCAGAAGUGCGAAUGCUGACAUGAGUAACGACAAGGGGGGUGAAAAACCUCCCCGCCGGAAGACCAAGGGUUCCUGUCCAACGUUAAUCGGGGCAGGGUAAGUCGACCCCUAAGGCGAGGCCGAAAGGCGUAGUCGAUGGGAAACGGGUUAAUAUUCCCGUACUUCUUACAAUUGCGAUGGGGGGACGGAGAAGGCUAGGUGGGCCUGGCGACGGUUGUCCAGGUUCAAGUGCGUAGGCUGAGUGUUUAGGUAAAUCCGGACACUCUUAAGGCUGAGACACGACGUCGAGCUACUACGGUAGUGAAGUCAUUGAUGCCAUGCUUCCAGGAAAAGCCUCUAAGCUUCAGAUUGUAAGGAAUCGUACCCCAAACCGACACAGGUGGUCGGGUAGAGAAUACCAAGGCGCUUGAGAGAACUCGGGUGAAGGAACUAGGCAAAAUGGUACCGUAACUUCGGGAGAAGGUACGCUCUUGAUGGUGAAGUCCC
rnacentral:rRNA from 1 species